GGAAUAUUGCACAAUGGGCGGAAGCCUGAUGCAGCAACGCCGCGUGCGGGAUGACGGCCUUCGGGUUGUAAACCGCUUUCGCCUGUGACGAAGCGUGAGUGACGGUAAUGGGUAAAGAAGCACCGGCUAACUACGUGCCAGCGGCCGCGGUGAUACGUAGGGUGCGAGCGUUGUCCGGAUUUAUUGGGCGUAAAGGGCUCGUAGGUGGUUGAUCGCGUCGGAAGUGUAAUCUUGGGGCUUAACCCUGAGCGUGCUUUCGAUACGGGUUGACUUGAGGAAGGUAGGGGAGAAUGGAAUUCCUGGUGGAGCGGUGGAAUGCGCAGAUAUCAGGAGGAACACCAGUGGCGAAGGCGGUUCUCUGGGCCUUUCCUGACGCUGAGGAGCGAAAGCGUGGGGAGCGAACAGGCUUAGAUACCCUGGUAGUCCACGCUGUAAACGGUGGGUACUAGGUGUGGGGUCCAUUCCACGGGUUCCGUGCCGUAGCUAACGCUUUAAGUACCCCGCCUGGGGAGUACGGCCGCAAGGCUAAAACUCAAAUGAAUUGACGG
rnacentral:rRNA from 1 species